UCCUCGUUAGUAUAGUGGUGAGUAUCUCUGCCUGCCACGCGGGAGACUGGGGUUCGAUCCCCCGACAGGGAG
rfam:Mesitornis unicolor contig56053, whole genome shotgun sequence.